GCCUGGGUGGCUCAGCUGGUUAAGUGUCUGACUUUGGCUCAGGCCAUGAUCUCACAGUCUGGGAGUUCAAGCCCCUCUUCAGGCU
rnacentral:tRNA from 1 species